GCCUACGGGAGGCAGCAGUGGGGAAUAUUGCGCAAUGGACGAAAGUCUGACGCAGCGACGCCGCGUGAGGGAUGAAGGUUUUCGGAUCGUAAACCUCUGUCAGGAGGGAAGAAAGCGCAUGGCGCCAAUCAGCCAUGCGUUGACGGUACCUGCAAAGGAAGCACCGGCUAACUCCGUGCCAGCAGCCGCGGUAAUACGGAGGGUGCGAGCGUUAAUCGGAAUUACUGGGCGUAAAGCGCUCGUAGGCGGUAUGUCAAGUCAAGGGUGAAAUCCCCGCGCUCAACGCGGGCACUGCCUUUGAAACU
rnacentral:rRNA from 1 species